AAUCCUGGCUGCUGAACAAGAAGUGGAGGGACAUGCUAGGCUCCGAUGUUUUUCAAGCCAACGUAAUGGGUAUCGUCGUGGAUGAAGUUCAUCUAACUUACAAAUGGGGUCAGGGUGCAAAAGGGCAGACGGCAUUUCGCGAAAGCUUCGACAAGUUGGGAGAACUAAGAUCCCUAGUUUAAGCUGGUACACCUGUGCUGGCAUUUACUGCUUCUGCUGAUCGGCAAUCCAUAGCCAUGGUUAUGAAACGGCUUCAGAUGGACAAUCCAACUGUUUUGGCUCGGAGCCCAAACAGACCAAACAUCAGACUGGGUCUGAUUAAAGUACCUGUUCAUGCACUGGACUGCCUAGACUGGAUUGUGAGGGAUGUUAAAGAAAAGGGUAUCUCCAUAUUGCCAGUUAUUAUCUACUGCAAAACUGUGAAGGCAGUUGGCAGAGUGUUCUGCCAUUUGAAGGGGGAACUCGGUGAAGAUUCCUGGGUUGACCAAGACCCUGAGAAAAAGACUGAAAACCUGCUGAUAGGUAUGUUCCACAGCCAGACACUCCCUCAGAAUAAGAACUGAGUGCUGUCAUCUCUGAGUGGACAGGGUAGCUGCCGAGUUGUCGUGGCAACUACUGCUCUUGGGAUGGGCUUAAAUUUUCCCAACGUAACACACAUUGGGAUGUAUGGGUUACCAGACGAUGUGGAAGCCAUGGUUCAGCAGGUCGGGAGGGCAGGCAGAGGUGGGUUGCAGGCACAUGCGAUUGUUUAUGCUGUCAAACAGCAUACAAAGCUAGACCCAGCAGUUAAGACAGUACUUGAGACUGGAGUCAAUAGUUGUCUGCGGAAAGCUUUGUACUGCCAUUUCGAGGAAAACACCACAUCUGUUGAUCCAGGACAUCUGUGCUGCACCCACUGCCAUUCUGUUUGUUCUUGUGAACCUGAAGGUUGUGGGGAGCCAAUCCCUAAAUAUGAACACUUUCAAGGGGAGGUCACAUCACCUGACAAACACCGAAUGAUCACACCUGAGGACAAACUUGUAAUCAGGGACCUGUUACAAACCUACAGGAGUAGUUUACUUCGGGACCAUACAAACAUGCAACUUUACACAGUCGACACAGCCUGCACUGGUUUUGGAGAUGAACUCAUUGAUGCGGUUUUAGAAGAGUGUACACAGAUAUUUGAUCUGGACUUCAUUAUCCAUAAUCUCCCUAUAUUCAAACUGGAACAUGCAAAAGAAAUACUAAGAAUUAUGCAUGAGGUAUUUGAUGACAUCGAACUGAGUCAAACUAAUUUGUUGGAUGACAGUGUUGUUCAGGAUGACUGUGUUCAGGUUGACAUGUACUACACUGGUUACUUUGAUGAAGAGGAUGAGAAUGAUGAGAUACAAUCAUCACCAAGUAGCUCAGUAUCAGGCUUGUCAAUGUUGAAGAUCUCAGAUUAGCUUCAAAUUAAGCCUCUAACUUCUAGCUUCAGGGUCCUGUUGUUGAGCAAAAGCCUCGUAUUUUUU